rnacentral:rRNA from 1 species
CUGGCUCAGAUUGAACGCUGGCGGCGUGCUUAACACAUGCAAGUCGCGCGUGAAAGGACUUCGGUCCGAGUAAAGCGGCGCACGGGUGAGUAACGCGUGGAUGAUCUACCCAUGAGUUAGGAAUAACGGCUGGAAACGGUCGCUAAUACCAAAUACGCUCCGAUUUCAACUUCGGGGGAAAGGUGGCCUCUGCUUGCAAGCUACUGCUCAUGGAUGAGUCCGCGUCCCAUUAGCUAGUUGGUGGGGUAACGGCCCACCAAGGCGACGAUGGGUAGCCGGUCUGAGAGGAUGACCGGCCACACUGGGACUGGAACACGGCCCAGACUCCUACGGGAGGCAGCAGUGGGGAAUAUUGCGCAAUGGGCGAAAGCCUGACGCAGCGACGCCGCGUGAGGGAUGAAGGUCCUCGGAUCGUAAACCUCUGUCAGGAGGGAAGAACCGCCACGGUGCUAAUCAGCCGUGGUCUGACGGUACCUCCAAAGGAAGCACCGGCUAACUCCGUGCCAGCCGCAGC